rnacentral:lncRNA from 1 species
AAGGUCUGUGCCUUAUAAGGAGGGAAAACCUCUUUCCUCACGAGGCGCCUUUUGUGGGGCAAAACCAUGCGGGUAUCCCCCGUCAGCGCUGGACGCGCGGGCCGGAAAAAAUUCUCUCCGUAGCGCUGGACGCGCGGGCCGGAGUCCCAGAGCGGACAAUACCUCGUGGGGGACGCGGGUCGUUCUCUGUCGUCAGUUGGUUGGGACUGUGCUGUUGUCGGGUCAGAAGGCCUGCAACAGAUGGCGCGCCAGGUAGGGGCC